rnacentral:rRNA from 1 species
CAUUACCAGUAUUAGAGGCACUGCCUGCCCAGUGACAUUAGUUAAACGGCCGCGGUAUCCUGACCGUGCAAAGGUAGCAUAAUCAUUUGUUCCUUAAUUAGGGACUUGUAUGAACGGCCCCACGAGGGUUUAACUGUCUCUUACUUUCAAUCAGUGAAAUUGACCUUCCCGUGAAGAGGCGGGAAUACAAAAAUAAGACGAGAAGACCCUAUGGAGCUUAAAUUAAUAUGUUCAACAGAAUUUAAUUAUAAUCCAAUAGGAAUAAAAAUAUUCUAACUGAACAAUAAAUUUUGGUUGGGGUGACCUCGGAGUAUAACAUAACCUCCGAGCAAUUAAACCAAGACUUACCAGUCAAGGCCAUAUAACUUAUUGAUCCAAUCUUAUUGAUCAACGAAACAAGUUACCCUAGGGCUAACAGCGCAAUCCUAUUUAAGAGUUCAUAUCGACAAUAGGGUUUACGACCUCGAUGUUGGAUCAGGACACCCAAAUGGUGCAGCAGCUAUUAAAGGUUCGUUUGUUCAACG